GCCGAUGUAGCUUAGUAGGUUAUAGCACGUGAUUUGUAAUCUCGAGGCCGUGGGUUCGAAUCCCUCCAUCGGCA
rnacentral:tRNA from 2 species